UGAGGCAUUAAAAGAACUCAAAAACAACAGAAAAAUAAUCAUUAAACCAGCUGAUAAGGGCAGUGCAGUUGUCAUAUUGGAUAGAGAACAAUAUCUAUGGGAGGGAUACAGACAAUUGAAUGAUAAAUGUUAUUAUUUAAAAUUGAUAAAACCUAUAUAUACAGAUACAAAGCCCAUGAUUGAGAAAAUUGUACAAACAUUACAGGAUAAAAAAUUCAUAAAUGCUAAACAAAAUCAAUAUUUACUGGGCGACCCGGAACCCAGGGCCCGAUUAUUUUAUGUUGCCAAAAAUACAUAAAGACCCGUCUAAGUGGAGCAAACCACAUGAAAUUCCCCCCGGAAGACCAAUUGUUUCAGACUGCAGCAGUGAGACCUACCAUACGGCCGAGUUCCUAGACUUUUAUUUAAAUCCUCUCUCUACCUUACACCCCAGCUACGUCAAAGACACAUAUGAUUUUGUGGAAAAAAUUAAAAAACUCCACAUCCCAAAAAAUGCCACCUUAUUCACAAUGGAUAUUGAUAGUUUAUACACAAAUAUUGACAUCCCACAAGGCAUACAAGCCAUAAAAAACAUAUUUCAUAAAUAUCCUAAUAAAAAACAGACCAGACAAGGAAUUGAUACAACUAUUAGAAAUUAAUUUGACCAGAAAUGACUUUGAAUUUAAUGGAGAAUUUUUUCUACAAAUCAAAGGCACAGCUAUGGGCAAGAAAUUUGCACCAGCAUAUGCUAAUAUUUUUAUGGCAGAGUGGGAAACAUCAGCCUUAGCCUCUUGUAUUAAAAAACCUUUAUAUUAUUAUAGAUACCUGGAUGACAUCUGGGGUGUAUGGCAACACUCAGAGGAGGAUUUUGAUCACUUCUUAAUCACUCUAAACAAUCACAAUGAAUCUAUAAAAUUAAAAUCUACUACCAGCAGGACCUCAGUGGACUUUCUGGACACCACCACAUACAAGGGCCAGAACUUCCAGAGCACCAAUAACCUGGAUAUUAAAGUGUUUUUUAAAGAGACAGACACUCACGCUCUGCUCCAUAAAUCCAGUCACCAUCCCAAACACACAUUUGCAGGCCUGGUAAAGUCACAACUGCUGAGGUUUCACAGAAUAUGCACUCAAAAGGAAGAUUUUAGAGAAGCCACUACAACAUUGUUUUCAGCGCUUCACACUAGAGGGUAUUCUAGAUCUUUCCUCAGGAAAUCCUUAAAAACAUUCCUGGAAAUUAAACCUCAGGUGGUGUCUACAAUACUUUCCUUCUAUUAUUACAUAUACUGCAUCUGCAGCUAGAUUGGUCAGAGUGAUCAAAACAAAUUUUCAAAAAGCCCUGAGUGGAACUCAAAAAACAAACCUGCAAGAUUACCUGGUCAAGGCCAAGGUCUCACCACUGCUCACCCUAAAACCAAGAGGUCAUGGAGAAUUUUUCAAGCAGCAAAUUUGGUUGCACAGCAAAUAAUAAAAAAAUGUUUUCAAAACACAUGCAUGGGGGAAUGUACACUCUAAAAAUUGGGUAUACUUAAUCACAUGUGCACAAUGUGGACUACAAUACAUUGGUGAAACCAAAAACUCCAUAACUGUGAGGUUCACUCAACACAGAUAUAAUAUUUUAAGACAAAAAGAGACACACACUCCUCUAGUGAAUCAUUUUUUACAACAUGGAUUUUUUUUUACAACAUGGAUGGCAGUCCAAGCCUGUACUGUACAUCAGAUCCAUCACUGAUCCAAUUUUUGAAUUUUGUAAGCCUAACCCUAACCUGCUGGCAUCCAGGUAUUAUGUAUGUCACUUCAAAUGGAAUCCAGUAGACUUAGAAUGGCCUGAAACACACUCUUACACACUUUGUGGGGGAAUGAUUUUUCCCAUGGCACUUAGUCACAUUUAGGGUUAGGGCAGGUUAGGGUUAGAGAGCAACAGAGAUAGGGGUCAUUUGAGUUAGGUUUAGAGUCAGGGACAGGCAGCCACACAGGUAAGUAUGCACAUGUUUGCAGGUUAUUGCAGUCAUAAAAACAGCUGCAUCAAAAAAUUACUCAUAAAAUGAUCAAUGUUCUUUACGUUACCUGGCUGUUGGUGUUUCUUUGUAGUAGACACAAAAAAUAUAAAUCACAUUGAGCAGUAUUCAGAGACACAAACUGUUUGAUGAAUAGAAAUAUGAGUAGAAACACUGACCAGGUGGGAUGCUACUUUUCUUCCUAUUUGACAAUGGACAUUGAGGAAUUAAAUCCCCAUGUCUGUCAGGGCAGAAUUCUGGUAAGUCUGAACAUGUUACUGCUUAGGUUGUUUUUUGGACCCAAAAGCAGACACAGAAAACAGAUGGAUGGAUGAGAAAAAGAUGGUUGAAUGAGCAACCUUUGGUUAUGGAGGGUAGAAGGGAGGGGAGCUGGUGCUGGCAAGGGGCAGGCAGGCUGGAGAAGGGUUGUGUGGCAGAAAGAGGCAGGUGGCUGGAUGCACUUGGCAUGGUGUGGCUGGAGAAUGAGCUUGCAGCUGAAGAACAACAGAUGACCGAGUGGUCGGGUUGACACUGGAGACCUGGGCACAGGAGAAGUCAUGUUAGUGGAAGCACCAAAAAGAGAACACAUGAAAAGAACUAGUAUUGGUAAUCCCGAGCGGCCGAGAGUGUAGCUACCACAAAGCUUGUAGCGGUUUGGACAAUUUGAAUUACCCUCAACCCCACAAAGGAUACAUGGUUAACUCAUGACCCUAAAAAAAAUGCUUUCAAAAGACCUUUUGGUAUUGUAUAAACAAUAUAAAUAACACAAAAUGAACACUUAAAUAAAGUGAAUAAGGCCAAACACACCACCAUUUGAAUUUCCCAAAAUUAUAUUAGAGCACUCACACAAAAAACAAAACUCUUCAACAAAUCAGUCCAGGUCCAUAAACAAAAAUAGUGCUCCGUUCUGGGUUUUUCCCGUUUCUCAAUACAGUUCAGGUUCAAACAGUCCAGUUCUCAAACAAAAUAAUCCGCCUCGGGUUUUCCCGGAAUUCCAAACAAAACUCAAAAUAAGGAAAUCAGUUCAGCUUUUCACCGUCCUACCAACCCCAAAAGCCCAGUCAAAAAGAAGAAAAGAUAACAAAAAGAGCACAGUGAAGUCACCCAGCUUUAGCCGACUCACGGUUCAGGGGACGUGUGGAAACGUGCGUUGUCCGGAGUUGAAAACACGGACAGUUCGGUGUGUUCGUGGAGAUAAGAAGAGAGGCUGCAGUAUCCACGGCUCGAGGGCAACCAAGGUGGAUUUUAACGACGCGGACUGAAACGCGCGCUGAUGGCCAAGGAUAGGCUUACUCCGGACAUGGAUGACUCACGAGGGUUUCUCUCCUGCUGUUCACCUGCCGGCGACUCCCGCCAUACUGAAUUAAAUCUCCUGGUACGAAAAACGGAAGAGGCUGGACUCCGAGGGAGUGGCAACGUGGAGCUAACUCACUGGCUGACUGGGCUAGUGGGGUGUGGAAGAGGCCUGGAUGUUACCAUAGGAGGACUUGCUGGAAAACCAAGGAAAUCCUCAUCCAUGGUUUCUUCUUCAAAUAUCUCCCUCAACUGCCUGUUUUGCUGCUCUUCCACUUGCUGAGCAGUGGGGUAACAAGGCUUGAGGUGGGAGAUGUGUACUAUUCUCUGGUCUGUUCCACUCUCCUCCAGCACCACUUCAUAGUUCACAGGUCCCACUUGCUGAAGGACAUGGUAGGGGCCCUGCCACUUGGGAGCAAGUUUUGCUGUGAAGGCUUUUUCUGCCUUGGAAAAAGGAUGGGCUCAUAGCCAGACUCGUGCUUUUUCUGCCAAACACACUUCUCUGCGAUGCUUAUCAUAAUUUCUCUUCUGUCGCUUACGGGCCAGAGAGAGAUUCUUUGCAACAAAAGCUUUGAGGUCAUCAAGCUGUGUGAUUUUUUGGUAGACAGACGAGUCGGGCAGGGCAUUUCUGGGCUGCAGCAAGACAUCCAGCAGUCCCCUGAGUGGUCGCUGUAGGUUGAGUUCAGCCGGUGUGACUCCUGUGGACUCCUGAACAGCAGAGUUCAAGGCAAACCUGAACUCAUGAAGGUGUUUAUCCCAGUUUUUGUGCCUGGAGCCCACAUAGGAGGCCAUCAUAGUUUUUAAGGUAGCCUGGAAGAUGGAGGAAACAAAUUGAGAACCUCGGUCAGAGAGAAUAUACUCAGGUAUUCCCCAUCUGGUGACAAUCUCCUGGAUGAGAAUGCAUGAGAUGGAUUCAGCAGUGGUGUUCCUUAAAGGGAAGAGCUCCACCCAUUUGGAGUAAUAAUCCACAAAAACCAGUAGGUAAACAUUUCUGCUUGAACUCCUGGGGAACGGACCCAUUAAGUCCAUGCCCAACAUUUCCCAGGGACGGCAUACCAGUGUUUGCUGUAGUUUUCCAGCUGGUUUGCGGCUUUCGGGUUUGUAUAGUUGACAGACUUGGCAAUUUGUCACAUGUUGUUUGACAUCCCAGCUCAUUUUGGGCCAGUAAACCAGAUUCUGCAUCCUCCUGUAUGUUUUGUAUCUACCCAGGUGGCCAGCAAGGGGGUCUUCAUGGAAUGAUGUCAGAAAGUGGGGACGCAAGCUCUCAGAGCGUCUGACACACAGGGUCUUUUUUCUGGGCAUUCCACACCUCUUGGACAGUGAUGGGCAUAUCCUCUGGAAACUCUGGUUUGGCAGACACCAUUGUGGCACAGAGAGGAUGGUGAACUCUUGAAGCCUGAAAGCCCACCAGAUCAGACGGGUGCUGGGUUUAGUGGUCUUAAAAACCCACAGGAGCGAAGAAUGAUCCGUAACCACUGUAAAGAGGCGUCCUUCCAGAUAAACUCUCCACU